rnacentral:rRNA from 1 species
GACGAACGCUGGCGGCGUGCUUAACACAUGCAAGUCGAACGGAAAGGCCCUGCUUUUGUGGGGUGCUCGAGUGGCGAACGGGUGAGUAACACGUGAGUAACCUGCCCUUGACUUUGGGAUAACUUCAGGAAACUGGGGCUAAUACCGGAUAGGAGCUCCUGCUGCAUGGUGGGGGUUGGAAAGUUUCGGCGGUUGGGGAUGGACUCGCGGCUUAUCAGCUUGUUGGUGGGGUAGUGGCUUACCAAGGCUUUGACGGGUAGCCGGCCUGAGAGGGUGACCGGCCACAUUGGGACUGAGAGACGGCCCAGACGCGUACGGGAGGCAGCAGGGGGGAAUAUUGCACAGUGAGCGGGAGCCUGAGGCAGAAACGCCGCGUGCGGGAUGACGGCCUUCGGGUUGUAAACCGCUUUCGCCUGUGACGAAGCGGUAGUGACGGUAAUGGGUAAAGAAGCACCGGCUAACUACGUG